UCUUGGUCACUUAGAGGAAGUAAAAGUCGUAACAAGGUUUCCGUAGGUGAACCUGCGGAAGGAUCAUUAAUGAAAUCGAGUACGAGCUGUCGCUGGCCUUCCGGGGCAUGUGCACGCUCGGAAAACAUUUUUCACACCCCUGUGCAUCUUUUGUAGGGAGGCGGUCAAACGUCGCCCUAUGUUUCAUACCAACCUGUCAGUCCAAAGAAUGUUCCGCGCAGCGAUGCGUGUUUGUUAUAAAUACAACUUUCAGCAACGGAUCUCUUGGCUCUCGCAUCGAUGAAGAACGCAGCGAAAUGCGAUAAGUAAUGUGAAUUGCAGAAUUCAGUGAAUCAUCGAAUCUUUGAACGCACCUUGCGCUCCUCGGUAUUCCGAGGAGCAUGCCUGUUUGAGUGUCAUGGAACCAUCAACUUUGAAAGGUUCUUUGUUGAAUCUUUCAUAGCUUGGACUUUGGGAGCCUGCUGGCCUUUUCUCGAGGUCGGCUCUCCUUGAAUGCAUUAGCUGAACGGAGGUUCGGUCGCACGGCGUGAUAAAAUAUCGUCUCUGUCGUGACCGUCUUCUAUCGGCUUCUUAAUCGUCUCUCGGAGACAAUCUUUUGACCUCUGACCUCAAAUCAGGUAGGAUUACCCGCUGAACUUAAGCAUAUCAUAA
rnacentral:rRNA from 1 species